rnacentral:rRNA from 1 species
GAUGAACGCUGGCGGCGUGCUUAACACAUGCGAGUCGAACGGAAAGGCCACAGCUUGCUGUGGUACUCGAGUGGCGAACGGGUGAGUAACACGUGGGUGAUCUGCCCUGUACUUCGGGAUAAGCUUGGGAAACUGGGUCUAAUAUCGGAUAGGAAUCACAUGUGGGUGUGUGGUUGGAAAGCUUUUGCGGUAUGGGAUGAGCUCGCGGCCUAUCAGCUUGUUGGUGGGGUAAUGGCCUACCAAGGCGUCGACGGGUAGCCGGCCUGAGAGGGUGUACGGCCACAUUGGGACUGAGAUACGGCCCAGACUCCUACGGGAGGCAGCAGUGGGGAAUAUUGCACAAUGGGCGCAAGCCUGAUGCAGCGACGCCGCGUGGGGGAUGACGGCCUUCGGGUUGUAAACUCCUUUCGUCAGGGACGAAGCGAAAGUGACGGUACCUGGAUAAGAAGCACCGGCUAACUACGUG